UGGGGAAUUUUGGACAAUGGGGGAAACCCUGAUCCAGCCAUCCCGCGUGUGCGAUGAAGGCCUUCGGGUUGUAAAGCACUUUUGGCAGGAAAGAAACGUCAUGGGUUAAUACCCCGUGAAACUGACGGUACCUGCAGAAUAAGCACCGGCUAACUACGUGCCAGCAGCCGCGGUAAUACGUAGGGUGCAAGCGUUAAUCGGAAUUACUGGGCGUAAAGCGUGCGCAGGCGGUUCGGAAAGAAAGAUGUGAAAUCCCAGAGCUCAACUUUGGAACUGCAUUUUUUACUACCGUGCUAGAGUGUGUCAGAGGGAGGUGGAAUUCCGCGUGUAGCAGUGAAAUGCGUAGAUAUGCGGAGGAACACCGAUGGCGAAGGCAGCCUCCUGGGAUAACACUGACGCUCAUGCACGAAAGCGUGGGGAGCAAACAGG
rnacentral:rRNA from 1 species